rnacentral:rRNA from 1 species
UACGAAGGGGGCUAGCGUUGUUCGGAAUUACUGGGCGUAAAGCGUGCGCAGGCGGCUUCUCAAGUCAGUGGUGAAAGCCCGGAGCUCAACUCCGGAACUGCCAUUGAAACUGGCGAACUUGAGUACGAGAGAGGUGAGUGGAAUUCCCAGUGUAGAGGUGAAAUUCGUAGAUAUUGGGAAGAACACCGGUGGCGAAGGCGGCUCACUGGCUCGUAACUGACGCUCAGGCGCGACAGCGUGGGGAUCAAACAGG